rnacentral:rRNA from 2 species
UACGUAGGGGGCGAGCGUUGUCCGGAUUUAUUGGGCGUAAAGGGUUCGCAGGCGGUCUCUUAAGUUAGAUGUGAAAGAUCACGGCUCAACCGUGGUAAGCAUUUAAAACUGGGAGACUUGAGUUAAGGAGAGGAAAGUGGAAUUCCUAGUGUAGCGGUGAAAUGCGUAGAUAUUAGGAGGAAUACCAGUGGCGAAGGCGACUUUCUGGACUUAUACUGACGCUGAGGAACGAAAGCGUGGGGAGCAAACAGG